CUCAGCACAUCUCCAGAAAAUUUGACUUUCCGAGAUAAAAUGGCAGUUUUUUUUAUGUUUGCCUUUUCUGAUUUGGAUCACAGAAACAACAGUUUCCAAUUACAAAUCAAACAUGACAUUAUACACAAACCAGUUGCUGGUUAAAGAACUAGAAGCAGACAGUGCGUGCACAAAACUUUCAUUGGUGUGAGUAAAUGUGGGUGCUGCAUGGAUGGACUGUUGCUUAGGUAAGUCAAAGGAUGCGGCUUUGGAUCAAAGUCAAAGCCAGGAAGCAUCAUGCAAACUCUACAGAUACUUCAUCCAAGAGCACCAAAGUAAUUGAGUUUUCUUGGCUGUGUGGACUAAGGCUCCCCUACCUGGCUAACUGAAAGAGGGCUACAGCGUCUUAUCCUCAUUUGUAAGAAAGAUGAGCUUCGUUGAGUGGAAAUAUUCAUUGUUGUCUAUUUUAAACAGCGAUACUUUUAUCGGCAUUUUUACAAACAGCAUCUUGAGUCACAACUCAGCUAUAAUACUUGGUAUGUCUUUAUAAAAAUGUGCCUUUCAAGACUGGCUGCUUUUCAACUCCUCACCCACUUCUUUUUAUCUAACCUUCUUCAGAAGCAAUACUUUUCAGAAGAAUUGCUUCUGAAGAUGGUUAGCUCUUCAAUGAGUCACUUAUCUCGGACAUCAAAAAGACUCUUCUGUUGGAUUACAAUCCAUCUCUUCAUCGAUCUCUCAAAAAGACAAAUGUGUAACAGCUGUGCCGUCUGGCGUAGCAGCAUGGCAGAGGCAGAUAUUGUCAUAUUUACACAAGUAACUCUUUUUU